rnacentral:rRNA from 1 species
UAAGGAAUAUUGGUCAAUGGACGCAAGUCUGAACCAGCCAUGCCGCGUGGAGGAUGAAGGUCCUCUGGAUUGUAAACUUCUUUUAUUUGGGAAGAAAUGCAUCUUUUCUAAGGUGUUUGACGGUACCAGAUGAAUAAGCACCGGCUAACUCCGUGCCAGCAGCCGCGGUAAUACGGAGGGUGCAAGCGUUAUCCGGAUUCACUGGGUUUAAAGGGUGCGUAGGUGGGCAGUUAAGUCAGUGGUGAAAUCUCCGGGCUCAACCCGGAAACUGCCAUUGAUACUAUCUGUCUUGAAUAUCGUUGAGGUAAGCGGAAUAUGUCAUGUAGCGGUGAAAUGCUUAGAUAUGACAUAGAACACCAAUUGCGAAGGCAGCUUGCUAACCGAAUAUUGACACUGAGGCACGAAAGCGUGGGGAUCAAAC